rnacentral:rRNA from 1 species
AUGGAGCUUUAGACACCAGGCAGAUCACGUCAAACAACCUUGAAUUAACAAGUAAAAACGCAGUGACCCCUAGCCCAUAUGUCUUUGGUUGGGGCGACCGCGGGGGAAAAUUAAGCCCCCAUGUGGACUGAGGGCACUGCCCCCACAGCCAAGAGCCACAGCUCUAAGCACCAGAAUAUCUGACCAAAAAUGAUCCGGCAAACGCCGAUCAACGGACCG